rnacentral:tRNA from 1 species
GGGGGUGUAGCUCACUGGUGGAGUGCUUGUCUAGCAUGCACAAGGCCCUGGAUUCAAUUCCCAGCAUCCCCU